rnacentral:rRNA from 1 species
AGCGCAGGUGGUUGUAUAAGUCUGAAGUAAAAGGCAGUGGCUCAACCAUUGUGUGCUUUGGAAACUGUACAACUUGAGUGCAGAAGGGGAGAGUGGAAUUCCAUGUGUAGCGGUGAAAUGCGUAGAUAUAUGGAGGAACACCGGUGGCGAAAGCGGCUCUCUGGUCUGUAACUGACACUGAGGCUCGAAAGGCGUGGGAGCAAACA